rnacentral:rRNA from 1 species
CCUACGGUGGCAGCAGUGGGGAAUAUUGGACAAUGGGCGAAAGCCUGAUCCAGCCAUGCCGCGUGUGUGAAGAAGGCCUUCGGGUUGUAAAGCACUUUCAGUGGGGAAGAAAGCCUUGGGGCUAAUACCCUCGAGGAAGGACAUCACCCACAGAAGAAGCACCGGCUAACUCCGUGCCAGCAGCCGCGGUAAUACGGAGGGUGCGAGCGUUAAUCGGAAUUACUGGGCGUAAAGCGCGCGUAGGCGGUCUGAUAAGCCGGUUGUGAAAGCCCCGGGCUCAACCUGGGAACGGCAUCCGGAACUGUCAGGCUAGAGUGCAGGAGAGGAAGGUAGAAUUCCCGGUGUAGCGGUGAAAUGCGUAGAGAUCGGGAGGAAUACCAGUGGCGAAGGCGGCCUUCUGGACUGACACUGACGCUGAGGUGCGAAAGCGUGGGUAGCAAACAGGAUUAGAUACCCGUGUAGUC